rnacentral:rRNA from 1 species
UACGUAGGGAGCAAGCGUUGUCCGGAAUCAUUGGGCGUAAAGCGCGCGUAGGUGGCUUCGUAAGUCCGUUGUUGAAAGUCAAAGGCUCAACCUUUGAAAGCCGAUGGAUACUGCGGAGCUAGAGUACUGAAGAGGUGACUAGAAUUCUCGGUGUAGCAGUGAAAUGCGUAGAUAUCGAGAGGAAUACCAAAGGCGAAGGCAGGUCACUGGGCAGUUACUGACACUGAGGCACGAAGGCCAGGGGAGCAAACGGG